rnacentral:rRNA from 1 species
GAUGAACGCUAGCGGCAGGCCUAAUACAUGCAAGUCGAACGAGAUUAAGAGGCUUGCUUCUUAUGAAAGUGGCGCACGGGUGCGUAACGCGUAUGCAACCUACCUUAAUCAGGGGGAUAGACCGAAGAAAUUCGGAUUAAGACCGCAUAAAAACACAGGAUAGCAUUAUCCAAUGUUCAAAUAUUUAUAGGAUUAAGAUGGGCAUGCGUGUCAUUAGCUAGUUGGCGGGGUAACGGCCCACCAAGGCGACGAUGACUAGGGGAUCUGAGAGGAUGACCCCCCACACUGGUACUGAGACACGGACCAGACUCCUACGGGAGGCAGCUGUAAGGAAUAUUGGUCAAUGGAGGGAACUCUGAACCAGCCAUGCCGCGUGCAGGAAGACAGCCCUCUGGGUCGUAAACUGCUUUUAUUCGGGAAUAAACCUUUCUACGUGUAGGAAGCUGAAUGUACCGAAGGAAUAAGGAUCGGCUAACUCCGU